AGUGAAAUAACUAGGUCAAUUGGUGGUUCUAUUCUAAGUUUUAUGAGGAACCUCCAUACUACUUUCCAAAGUGGUUGCUCCACCUUGCAGUCCCACCAGCAAU
rnacentral:pre_miRNA from 1 species